UAUGUGAUCGUCUCUCGCAUAUCAAUAAGCGGAGGAAAAGAAACUAACAAGGAUUCCCCUAGUAACGGCGAGUGAAGCGGGAAGAGCUCAAAUUUGAAAUCUUAAAGGGUUUCCCUUUACGAAUUGUAGUUUAAAGAAGUGUUUUCUGUUGAGGUUUUGGUAAAAGUUCUUUGGAAUAGGACAUCAUAGAGGGUGAGAAUCCCGUAUUUGACCUUUACUUUCAACUUUGUGAUACACUUUCAAAGAGUCGGAUUGUUUGGGAAUGCAGUCCAAAAUGGGUGGUAAAUUUCAUCUAAAGCUAAAUAUUGGCGAGAGACCGAUAGCGAACAAGUACCGUGAGGGAAAGAUGAAAAGAACUUUGAAAAGAGAGUUAAACAGUACGUGAAAUUGUCAAAAGGGAAGCGUUUGACACCAGUGUUGUUUUUCUGAAAAUCAAUUAAAGAACUGUUUAUGCUAAGCUGUUUAGACUUUAUCAGCUAUCUGUUUAGUUUUGAGCUUUUCUUUAAUGCACUUUUCAGUUAACAAGUCAACAUCAAUUUCUUUUGCUGUAAAAAAGCUUGAGGAAGGUGGCUUGAGAUUCGUCUUAAGUGUUUAUAGCCUCUUGCCUAUGCAGUCGGAGAGAUUGAGGUCCGCAGCGUAGAUCCUUCGGGGCUAAAUGCAUUUGUGCUAAGUUAUAGCAUUUUAUAGACAACUUGUUGACUAUGAUUUGUCUUGUAGCUUACUCGCUUAUGUUAUUUUACCUACGCUUAGGAUGUUGAAGAUAUGCGCGACACG
rnacentral:rRNA from 1 species